AACGUUUCCUCCGGACAGGUUUUGAUAAAUCUGCCCCAUAGUGCAGAGGUUCGGGCAGGGAGCGGUGGAACAAAUGUGGCAGGGGCGCUAACUAAGGCACACCUCGGAAUUCUGCACGGAAAUUCUGACGUUUGAACAUAGCCUAAAGGUUGCUGACAUAUAACUUGACAUGGGACAGAAGAUGAAGUGUGAACUUAGUGACAUUUGCUAUUUGAGAUCUGUGUAUGCAGAGGACUUCUUCAGAUUCCGUGGACUACAACGUUGACCUGCAUUUUUUUUGUUAAAUAUUAAUAAAAUGGUUAAUCAGCGCUUGUGGGGGAGUGAUUUUUUGAACAAAAGUUUUUAAAAUGUUUUGUGUUUUUUCUUAACAUUUACUUUACUAGGCUUAGUAGUGGAAGCCUU